rnacentral:rRNA from 1 species
GACGAACGCUGGCGGCGUGCCUAAUACAUGCAAGUAGAACGCACAGUUUAUACCGUAGCUUGCUACACCAUAGACUGUGAGUUGCGAACGGGUGAGUAACGCGUAGGUAACCUGCCUGGUAGCGGGGGAUAACUAUUGGAAACGAUAGCUAAUACCGCAUAAUAUUGAUUAUUGCAUGAUAAUUGAUUGAAAGAUGCUAUUGCAUCACUACCAGAUGGACCUGCGUUGUAUUAGCUAGUAGGUGAGGUAACGGCUCACCUAGGCGACGAUACAUAGCCGACCUGAGAGGGUGAUCGGCCACACUGGGACUGAGACACGGCCCAGACUCCUACGGGAGGCAGCAGUAGGGAAUCUUCGGCAAUGGACGAAAGUCUGACCGAGCAACGCUGCGUGAGUGAAGAAGGUUUUCGGAUCGUAAAGCUCUGUUGUAAGAGAAGAACGGGUGUGAGAGUGGAAAGUUCACACUGUGACGGUAUCUUACCAGAAAGGGACGGCUAACUACGUG